ACUCCAUUAGAGAGAUGGAAGACUCCCUCUGCUCUCCUAAUGAAGCUGAAUACUAUCAACAUCCUGCCACCACGUAGCUAUUUUGUUGUAUUUAUGACACAUGUAGUUUCUCUAAUUCACUAUCAUUCAAUAAGCAGGGCAAGUGAAGUAGCCUUUUCAUACAUUUCAGUGAAAUAAAAAUGCUCUUGUUUUCAAACGAGGAAAGCAAAACUCCUGAAUUCUAGCUGAAAGGCCUGGAGAAGAAGGAACUGGGAGGUUCCAGGGGGCCCCUAAUGAAACUCGCUGAUGUCUCAACGUAAACAUAGAGGAAGGAAGGACAGGAAGAGGAGCCGUGCGUGGUGAUACCCACAGCCCCCUGGCCUUUGACAAGCUCUGGCUAGCUCAUUAACAUUCAUCCUAUGGAAUAAGGGACACAGCAGAAAUAUGGCAGCCCCGCCAAUCUCAACCUGUGCACCGCUAAAUAAGCUGCAUUAGGGAGACCUCUCCAGUGAUGGCUGCUUUCCAGACACAUUUUUAUAGUCUUGCUCCGAUCACAGAUCUUUCUCGUAUGUCUCUGAGAACCAUGUGACAUUCCAAACCUUUUAAGAGCUCCUUCCCAUGUACCAGCAUGCACUGCACACUGA